ACGAAUAUCUAUGGCGUUGGUUGUAGCUGGCUCCUAGGAGCAUUGUGCACGCCCGUCAUUCAUAUCAUCUUUCCACCUGUGAACUAUGUGUAGGCCUGGAUACCCCUCGCUUUGGCAACGAAGCGGAUGCAAGGAUUGCUGUGUCGACGAGGCCCAGCUCUCUUUGAAUUUCCAGGUUCUAUGUCUUUUACACACCCCAUUUGAAUGAUGUAGAAUGUAGUCAAUGGGCUUUCAUGCCUAUAAAACCUAUA
rnacentral:misc_RNA from 1 species